GUCCCCAUCGUCUAGAGGCCUAGGACAUUGCCCUUUCACGGCACUAACACCGGUUCGAAUCCGGUUGGGGACG
rnacentral:tRNA from 1 species